AUACGGAGGGUGCGAGCGUUGUUCGGAAUUAUUGGGCGUAAAGAGCAUGUAGGCGGUCUGUUAAGUCUGGUGUGAAAGCCCGGGGCUCAACCCCGGAAGUGCAUUGGAUACUGGCAGACUUGAGUAUGGGAGAGGAAAGCGGAAUUCCGAGUGUAGGAGUGAAAUCCGUAGAUAUUCGGAGGAAUACCAGUGGCGAAGGCGGCUUUCUGGAUCAAUACUGACGCUGAGAUGCGAAAGCGUGGGGAGCAAACAGGAUUAGAAACCCCAGUAGUCC
rnacentral:rRNA from 1 species